UUUUUAGGCUGCUCUAACAGCGCUAAGGGCACUAUCGAAGAUGGGACUUGACACAGUCGCUCCAACCAAGAAAGGGAAUAAUAUUCAAUCUGGAGACGGACUUUUCGGAUCGAAUAUAUCUCCUUCAGCGGAAACAAAAACCAGCUACGUCAAUGGAGCAUCUAGCAAAUAAGGUUCUUUCUCAAAGAAUUGACGAGACGUUCACGUUUAUGCAAGUAUGAAAAAUAAUAAGUUUGUUGUACUUGAAGUUUACAAAAGAUGCAUAACUUCAAUUUACUAGAAAGUUGAGUAACACGACUACUUAACUAAUAGAAAAGUCACGGAAAAUUGUGAAAGUUUGUUAUAGUAUGGCGUUACUCAUAAAUUAUUACAAAAGCAAAAUUGCUAUCAAUUUGUCAUGUUUAAAAAACUAUUUCAAAUGAUUAAUAACAUUUAGCUGUCAUAAUUUUAUCUUUGUUAUACUGAUACUUAUUCAUUACUACUAGUCAAAUAAGCAUUUUGAAAUAAUAGCAAAUAAAUAUGUUCUUGGAAUUAAGAAAUCUUCAUUUGCUACUCUUCUAAUAAGCUAAUGUUAUUACAUCAUGUUUUUGAGCUUGUAAUGAUUUUAUGAGUGUGAGUUGAAUUUUUAUGUAAGACGCACUUGGAUUAGAAUAGUUGUAUAUUUAAGCUUCACCGAUAAAGCAUAACAUCGUAUUAUCGCAGUGCUAAUGCCCUAAGCCCUAAUGCCGUGUGAUGUUAACAUGGAAUUGAUUUUAACAAUUCACACAUAAAUUUUGGCUUUUAAAGAAUUACUACUUUACUGGUGUUGUGUCUGUUUAAACUAUUUAUAUUGAAAUAUCUCACAUACUUUUAAAUUUCUAUAAGUUUGUUUGUAUCUGUCCAAUAUCAAUGAUUCACUUUCUUCUCUAUUAGAAUGUCUAUUAAUUGAAUGAUAACCAAUAGAAUACCUAAAUGGAUGGAAAUUCUUGUAUAGGUUCAUAAUAGCGAAGAGAGUUUAAUAUAUUUUAUGAAAUUGGGAUGAAAAGAAGUUUUGGACUGUAGUCUGUUUCUUUGUCCUUAAGUUGAUUGUAAAUGAUAAAUACAUAAAUAAAUAUCAAUGUGUGACGAAGGAAUCGUUCAUCAUUUUAAUGAAAAUCAAUAGUGAAUACUUAUAAAUCAUCACAGUAACAUUUUCUUCCAGUUCUUACAACAUUUGUCAACUUGUAUUUGAAGUAGUUCUAAUCUUAUUAAAAUAAUAAUUUUAUUCCAGAAUUUGUAAUAGUUGGAUAUAUUUUGAAUGUUAAUGGUUUUUUUAGAAGAUCGAAAAUCGUAGAUCCACUUGAAGAGUAACGGUUUUUUACUUCUUGAUGUAACCGAAUUUUAAAAUUGAAAAUAAACCUCUUGGAUAGUAGCUGUUGUCAAUAUUUGCUGUAGCAGAAGUCUUCGGGGUGGUUUGCAGCAUUUGAUUGCAUUUUCGUUUAAUAAUUUAAAAUACAAUUUAUUGAAAACAAGAGUAUUCUAGAAAACAUAUUAAUACACAAACUAUAAGGAUUAUUUAAUAUUAUAUUAUUCAUUUAAUGUUAAUAGCUUUACAGUCCUAUUAUGAAGGCUGAAUACCUAUUUGGUUAUGUACUUACUGCAUCUAUAUCUCAAUUAUUCUGUUAUUGAUUUUGUUGAAAUUUGAAAAAAUCUGAAGUAAUAGACCAUUUAACCUUUUAUUGUCUUCUCCACCGUGCCAGAAAAUGGAAAUCAUUACAAGCCUAGUAAUCGUUCCCUUAACUGCAAAUAGGUUGCACUGGAUUCAAAAUGGAAACAAUUUUGGUGAUAACAUUUUAAUAUCAAGUAGCAUUUAUAUUGUGCAGUGCAGAUUAUCAUUUCAGCCUGUAAAAUCAUUGCGAACUAAAGUUUUAUUAAGAAAAAGUUCUCGACUUUUGAGAGCAUUUUUUCUCAGUUCAGACUGACCGAUUUUAUCUUUUGUGCAAUAUUCACCAUUUUACCCCUACCAUAUUUGGCUGUUAUGUUUGGAUUUGUUUCGCGAAUUGGAUAAAUAGUAGCAUAACAUUAUUUUAUAUUUACGAGUUGGAAAGACUUGUGAAUGAAAACGAUUGCCGACCUUAUCUUUCACUAUUUUCGACUUGUGAAUUGAAAUUAAUUUCAAAGGAAAUGCCAUUUAACUGAAAUUAUCGUGGUUUGUUAGACUAAUUAAUGAUAUUUUUGGUUUACUCCACUUCAAUUCCCAAGCUUCAACUUCUAUAAUAUAUUGCCUAAAUAUUCUGUACAACAUGGAAGCUGAAAGUGACUUUAAAACUUUUAUUCAGGUAAUUUUUAUCAAACCUGAUGAAUUCAACAUAUAUCUUGAAAUUUAUAAUUUGUUGUUCAAUGCUUAUUAAUUUCUAAUAUUUCAAUUUUUCUAUUUGUAUCUUUCUUCAAAUUCACAAAAUGUUCAAAAUAAAAUUACUAACCUAG
rnacentral:lncRNA from 1 species